GCCAUGGAACAAUAUAGACUGUGUUCUGGAAUGUGGGGGGAAUGUAGAAAAGGGAACACAGAGAGGUGCCAGGGGCUUUUUGAUUUCCUGUUUCUGGGAGAGCUCUUGCUUGGGAUCUCUAUCAAGUGAAGGAGGGUUUUGUUUCCUAUCCCCUUGAAGCUAAAGCCACCAGCACUGGUAUCCUGUAUGAAGACAUCAGUCAUACCUUGUCAUCUACUUAUGUUCCAGCCUCCUGAAAGGUCCCCUACAUACACCAACACUGAGGAGAACAGUCACCAGGAAACUCGGAUGUCCAGAGAACUUCCUUUACUCCAAGGCUAUUCUCCUCCCACUAACUCUCAUAUAUGAUGUCCUAAGUGCCAACAAUGAUUUUCUAAUUUGUCUGGGCUGCCCAGGAGGCAAUGCCUGGGAAAUCACUCUGUUGUCUCCUGAUAUUCUUGGCUGUCUUGCUCCAUUUUUUUGACUGUUGUUCUGACCUCGUGACUAAAUUUAUCCAAUGAUUUCCCUCACACAGUCUUCACUUCUGUCCUAUGUUCAAAUUCGUGCCAGAUACCUGUGGUUGAAAAGGGAGAAAGGAUAAAUUCCUUUAUCACAGUACUUAACUAGAGUAGUACCCAUGUAUUUAAGUAUCAUUAUGCUUAAUUGUCUCCCUAAAUCUAAAUACCUCUAUGCCCAAGUAUCUAGUUAUAUAAGAACCUAAGGAAUGAAGUAUCUAAGAACCUGCCAACUAAUUACCUAAGUGCCUAAUCAUCUAAUUGCCUAAGAAAAUAUUUCUCAACUUGUCAUACUCCUUUUGUUUCAUUACCUGAAACUCUCCCACUGUAAAAUCUACCCUCUUGAUUUUCCAUUUGUUAGUCUAAAUGUUAGAAUAGAUUUCAAAAGAUAUGAUUAGUAUGUUGGAUAAGUCUGAAAGUAAGGAUGUACCUCAACAAAUCCCCAUUACUCCCAAGCUGCCUUUAUUUCUUUUGUUGUUGCCAAGAACAUUCCUUUUCAUGUGAUCUGAAAAUUGCCAAUUGGGCAUUGCUCUGCACUUUAGCUAAAUUUGAUUUAAAAAAAAAAAACUAUUGCAUU
rnacentral:lncRNA from 1 species